GAGGGCCUGGGGACCAAUCAGGAGGCAAAGGGCAAAACAUUUGGAGGGGAGGUGGGAAGGAGUUGAUCUGUGGUGAGAGAGGGGGCUAUGUGAGGUUGCUUUGGGUAUUUUCCCUCCAUUUUGUGAGUGCUGUAGUUAGCCUGGAGCAAGGACCUACCUGAAACCUGGCCUCAGUUCAUGAAAAUGGAUCUCUAGGCUCUUGGUCCCAAUGCCAGGGCCUGAUCCUGCAGUGGGAUCUGUGCUCACCUGUCAGAAGGCUGGUGCAAGGGGGACAUCUGCCACCCCAGCUGAGGGCACAGCAGUGCUUACCCCAACUCAGCUGAGACUGGGGCUCCUAAUGUGCCAAGUGCUUCUUCCCUGGGGUCUUCAGUCCAGGCACAAAAGGCUGUGAAGGGCAAGUGCUUGGCCCCCUGGCCCAUCUCAUCCUCUGCUGGGUGGCCAUCCCUGGCAAGGUCAAGCUGGAGAGAUCCGUGCCUCGUGUCACUUAAUCACCUCUGCCUACGUGGACCACUGGCAACCGUGCCAUUUGCCUCGUGUGCCAGUCCUGCUUCCUGGCUGUCCUCUGACAGGGCUCCCAUGAGGACUGCUGGGGCUGCAAGUGUCUUUCAGGGAUUUGCAGCCUUUCAUUCUUCCUUCUGCUGAAAUUUCCCCCUUGUGCAGAAUUUCAUCGCAGCGCUACAAGCCCCGAGUGCUGCAUGUGAAGAGAAGUCCUUGACAGGGAAGCUGUGCUCUGCAAUACACCUUGGGUAUUAUUUUUUUUAGACAUCUUCUAAAGACAUCUGGCUGUAAGAAACAGGUUGCUGUGAUCAGUCUCCACAUAUAUGUGUGUGUCUUAAUUGCUUUUCUGGAUUUCAACCCAAUUUGACAGAAAUGUCCCAGAUAUGAUGCUUUCAUUAAUACACACAAAUGAAUUCCAGUGCAUUUCUGCAAACUGGCACCUAGCCGUAGUGCCAGUGUUAUUCAACAGUAGGAUCCUGCACAGAGGCAAGGAGAAUCUUGCCACCUCACACCUCCCUCUCCCAGCCUCCAUCCUUCACUUACUGUGUACCUGCAAACAUUGCAUAUUUUUAUAUCCCAUCAGUGCUCGUGAAAAGGGGCACACUGCAGAGAGACGAUACUCAUGCCCCAACUGGAGGGAGAGCACAGCCCCACAAACCCAGCCAUCCAUCAGAUCCCAGAAUAUCCACAUGGGAAGGGCCAUUUCCUAGCUGUUUGCAAUACUUCCAUCAGAUCUAGCAGCUCGCCCCAGGGCGCAGGGAGGUGAUCCUUCAUCAGAGUCAGUGCUGCUGGGGUGGUGUUCUCAACCUGGGGGAUCCCACUGAGGAAAAUAGGAAGUAUUUCACAUGGCAGAUGUUAGUUGGUGCCCACCAGUCACUGGUCUGGUGUGGGGGGACCGAGACCUGCCUGGGGUCCUGGCUUCAACCCCCACCCACUGCCCAGCAGGCAGCUGUUGGCUGUGUCCAGAGGCCUCA